ensembl:lncRNA
CGCAGGCCUCUCACCACCGGUGGUUUAUUCUCCCCAGAGCGCCGUGAUAGUUUUAGGGCGUUCUGACAAAGAUUGCACUGGAAGUGGUUUUCGUGGAAUAUAAAAAGAAACCGCUCCUCGGGAAACGCCAGAAUUGUGUAGCUGAUGGAUUAAUUUCCUCUACAGCUAACACGGCUACAGGAAGGAUUUGGCUCUGCACGUGCCUGCUGCUGGGCUGCUGAUACCACAGUGACUGCAUAGGGUGCAUCCAGACAGAUAGCCACCACCACCACCUCACUUGUAUUUAAAAAUUACAUUUCCAUUGAUUCCUGUAGUAAUAAUAACUACAACCUCAUAAUACAAAUUAUAUCUUAGAAAUUGGGAAAUCCUUGCUCUGUAGACAGUGUUGGUAGAAGAUUGCAAGGAUUCAUCAUUCAACCUAUAUUAAACCUACACAGCGCUGAUAUUUUCUUUUUUUAAAAAUCAAACAACACAGUGCUUUUAAGAGUAGCAGUCUGUUUCUGUUCACCAAACAAAGGUAAGAUCUUCAGCUACAAAUCAGAUGGAAAAUACCAUGUGGCAGAAGUAGCCACAUCCGUUGCCCCAGGACACGGAGGACAGCUCCUGCCCUUGGCUGCCUGCUCAGCUAACAGCACUGGUCUUGUGACAUCCCGCUCAGAUGGCAGCACAUAUCCGUGUGUUUAAAAAAAUAUGUUAUCUUUACAGCAUUGCUCCAGUAAGAUGACACCCAGAAUACCAGGUACUGAAGAUAAGCAACAGAAGAACUGAAGAUUUGGGGCUGAAUGUGCAUAGAAGUACAUGCAUUCAAGUCCUGGGUUAACAACUUUUCCAAACGUCAUGAGAGCAGCAGUUUGGAGACACAGGACAAAUGCUCCUCCAAAGAGGUGGAGGAAGAGAAGAAAACCCUUCCCAUCUGCACUGAGAGCAUGGAAGCCAAGUUUCUGCCUGGAACGAUCUGAGGGGCUGAUGUACAGUUAUCCAGAAAUACAGCAUUUCAUCAUUUACUUCAAAGGACUACCACGGAAAGAGAGCAAAAGUGCAAUCAGAAAAUAAAGAGAUUACACUUCAUCUCCUGCCAGUAUCUCUGAUGCGAGUGCUGAAUGUAAAACUUGAAAUCAGUAGUACGGAAGAACAGCUUGCCAAUCUCUGAGAACACAUCUACCAUUUGCUCAGAGAAGAUAUAAGGUUAAACAGGGGCUACUUACAUUUCUACAUUGAUAUUACCAAAUCAUGUUAUUCUCAAAAGGAGUUUUCCUGUGCCAGUUCAUUCUUUGGCUUUCUUGCUGCGUACACUAACCUGGAAGUUUGUUUAAUAUAUACAGAUAUAUGUUGAAUAAUUGUUGACUAUAUACGACCCUUUUUAUGAUUGCAGGCAACUUACAUUUUCCAGUUCUGUUUUGGACUCAUGGCGUAACACCAGUGAAAUGGGAAAUAGCUAACGACUGCUUGUUCUGUUCUUCUAAAUUUUGCCAUUGUCUGCUCUCCCCAUUUCUCUUUAAGCACUUAUUUUUCUUCCUUCCCCCAUGUUGCAAUUAAUGCUGAAAAACCUACAAGACUAGGGAAGUCUACUUUUUUAUAUAAAAACUACUUUGUUUAGGUCUUAUAAUUCCUAGAAGGAAUUACCCAGGCACUCAAAUUAAAGUCAGGCCCACAUCAUAUCUGCACCCUGAGUUUUAUCUGGCAGUGUUCAAGUAUUUUGAAAGUCAUGGGAAAUGAACAGACCUUGAAAAAAUAUGGAUAUCCCAAAUGUUGAUAUCAUUGCUGUAAACUUUUUCAUUGCUCUGGUAUUUGGAGUACUCUACACUGUUUAAUUUGGGCUAUUAACAUUCCAAAUGAAAGUAGCAAGAACUCCACCAUGAGUUUAUCUUUCUUUGAGUAAUCUUAACAUGCACCUAAGUCUCUGGUUAAGUUUCCAAGAACCCCAUGUCAUGGUUAUAUUUCACAAGCACAUUAUCUACCCUCUCUGCUUUAGCCAUUUUACUUACACUGCCUAAGUGGCCCCCCUGGAAGCACUUACCUCUCUCCAGUGACUAUGUAGGGAGCUUGGUCUUAUAAUUUUUCUCUUUUACAUCAGAGCAAAAUUAGAUCUUAGAGCAGACAAAACCAAAUUAUGCCAAUACGUCCAACAGCAUCAAGUUAGAGUUUUGAUCCUUUAAAUCUUAUUCAUGCAAGUAAAUCAUGGUCAUGGAGUGGAAAAGAAGAGAAGCUGUGUUAUUAAAGGUCACGGGACCAGGGCUUCAGAGUAUCUAUGGCUUUCAAAUUCCCAUGCUCAAGCUCUUCCCCCUGUUGCUAUAUUUCAGCCAAUUUCUAAGCAAUAUUUUCAGCAUAAUAAAAUCCUGAACU